GUAGAUGUUAUCAGCAGCAAUGGAGAGAGGAGGAGUACAAAUGCUUCUGUAGACAUCAACACCAUCAAAGGAGCCCCACAGGAAGUGCUGCUGGUGGAAGAGGAUGUGACCUCAUCAGUGUUUGUGAGCUGGGGAGCUGCUGCAGGGGGAUGGAGGGGUACAAGGGGACAAGUCGUCAUGUCGUGAGAUGGUGGUCCAUAGCAACAGUCUCCAAGUUGGAGGUCCGGCUGGUGUGUGUUCCCUCGCUCUCCUCCAUGUUAACUCUUCCUGUGCUGUGGUGAAGUGGGACGCUGCCAUUGGCCAGUUUGACUUCCACAGGGUAACUGUGGGAAAUGGCUUGCAUUCACACACUCUAGUGGUUGAGGCACGGCUGUAGCUACAACAUGAGUGUGGGGUGCAUCAGACAAGAAGUGGCAGGGACAGCAGCCUCUCUGACCAUAACCACAGUACCGGGCCGUGUGCGGGGUGUGUGUAUGGUGAGUGUGUCUGCUCAGAACUUCUCUCUGCGUUGGGAGCAGUCAGAGGGGUGUGUGGACCAGUACCUUGUCAGCCUGCUGCCCAUCCAAGG
ensembl:lncRNA